rnacentral:piRNA from 1 species
UGGUGAAUCGUUGCUUGCUGUGGACUUA